rnacentral:rRNA from 1 species
GUCUACAGCCAUGCCACCCUGAACAAGCCUGAUCCUGUCUGAUCUCAUAAGCUAAGCAGGGUCGGGCCUGGUUAGUACUUGAAUGGGAGACCACCUAGGAAGACCAGGUGCUGUAGCGU